CGGAAAUCUUUUGGUUUUGGUUAAAAAAGAUACAGUAAGGGGCGAAGAUCAGACAAUCUUACCAAUUCCAUUAAAGAGGGAGAGAACAGAGAGAAAUGAUCCUACCUGUAGUGAAGCUAGGAACUCUUUUUCUAAAAACCAUAUGCAAACCCAUUGCUAAUCGGCUCAAGAAAUAGGCUGGAUUUCACCCCAAGCGUCGCCAGCUGAUCAUUAACAUCGCGCAGUGAUAAUGUUGAGCUGAUUAUCGACGCCACUUUAUGCUCUGCUUGUAUGCUUGUGUGUGCGAAAUGGUGCCUGUCUGGAUCUGCUGGUUUCUGCGUACCUUGUUUUGUGUUGGAUAAUAAUUAAGUAUUCAUGCUUUCUUAUUUAUUAAACUGCGGAAGGAACCUGCCCUAGACUGUUGUUUAGUUUCAAAUCAAGAAUUGUUAAUUUAUUUCCAAACAUUUUUUAUACAUCAUUAUAGAAAUUCUCCCGUCAUGUUUCUAUAUGUAUAAAAAACUAACCGUGAUAGUCCUCGUCACAUCUUCAACUUACAUAAGCAUGUGCA